GGUGGGGGUUGGGGAACAGCCGAUGGUGGGUGGAGGCAGUGGGAUCCAGUCGAUCAGAGCCGACGAUGGGUACAAGUUGACAAAGAGCUGGCGAUGGGUGGGUUGAAAAACUUGGGGUUGGGGCAUUGAAGGUUUGGAAACAUUCGGGUUGAAGAACUUGGGGUUGGGGCAUUGGAGGUUGGGGAACAGCCGACGACAGCACUUAGCAAGAGUUGGGAGAGAGGGAGAGACAGAGGGGAGAAGAAGAUCUGGCAGUUGGGGAAGAGUUGGCGGUGGGGGUAUUGGGUUGAUUGGGGUUUUGAAUG
rnacentral:lncRNA from 1 species